UACAGAGGUCUCAAGCGUUGUUCGGAUUCAUUGGGCGUAAAGGGUGCGUAGGCGGCGCGGUAAGUCGGGUGUGAAAUCUCGGAGCUUAACUCCGAAACUGCAUUCGAUACUGCCGUGCUUGAGGACUGGAGAGGAGACUGGAAUUUACGGUGUAGCGGUGAAAUGCGUAGAUAUCGGGAGGAACACCAGUGGCGAAGGCGAUCUUCUGGACGGAUACUGACGCUGAGGCGCGAAAGCUAGGGGAGCAAACGGG
rnacentral:rRNA from 1 species